UACGAAGGGGGCUAGCGUUGCUCGGAAUCACUGGGCGUAAAGCGCACGUAGGCGGAUCUUUAAGUCGGGGGUGAAAUCCUGGAGCUCAACUCCAGAACUGCCUUCGAUACUGAGGAUCUCGAGUCCGGGAGAGGUGAGUGGAACUGCGAGUGUAGAGGUGAAAUUCGUAGAUAUUCGCAAGAACACCAGUGGCGAAGGCGGCUCACUGGCCCGGUACUGACGCUGAGGUGCGAAAGCGUGGGGAGCGAACGGG
rnacentral:rRNA from 1 species